rnacentral:rRNA from 1 species
UACAGAGGGUGCAAGCGUUAAUCGGAAUUACUGGGCGUAAAGCGUGCGUAGACGGUUACAUAAGUCGGGUGUGAAAGCCCCGGGCUCAACCUGGGAAUUGCAUUCGAGACUGCGUAGCUAGGGUGCGGAAGAGGGAAGCGGAAUUUCCGGUGUAGCGGUGAAAUGCGUAGAUAUCGGAAGGAACACCAGUGGCGAAAGCGGCUUCCUGGUCCAGCACCGACGUCAGGCACGAAAGCGUGGGGAGCAAACAGGAUUAGAAACC